rnacentral:lncRNA from 1 species
GUGGUCCACAGGCUAGGAGAGGGCUGGGUCCUUAGGGUCUCACAGGGUCAAAAUGGAGGCAGAUGCUGGAUGGCGCGCUUAUCUGGACGUCCUUGAGAAGAAGAAUCAGCUUUCGACCUCCUUCAGGCUGUUGACAGAAUUCAGAUCCUGUGGCUGGUGAGGACGGAGGACCCCUUCCUUGCUGGCUGUCAGGAUGCAGGUUCCCAGGUACUGCUACAAGGCUGAUGGAGAAAGGGAUGGCAACAGGAGCGUCAGACAAAGAAGCUCAUUCUAUAGACCCAGCAGGGCCAGCACUGACCAACAGAUGCACCAUCACCUCGGGAGGCAGGUUCAUUCUCUCUCUAGACAGGCUCGAGAAUGGAGACAGAAAAUGGAGGUAACUUGCCCAAGGCCACUCUGUAGGUAAGUGGUGGACUGGCUUUGAACUUUGCUGUCUCCAGCUCCUGCGAUGCCUCUGUGUUGCCUCAAAUGCAAACAUGUACUAUUUAUGCCCCACUUGGUUUCCAAAAGGACGUAAGAUGAUUAGAAAAGAAAUACAAGACAACAGAGUUUAAAAAUGUGUAUAAAGAAGAGUCAUA